rnacentral:rRNA from 1 species
AGCCAGCAAUUUGGGGUCGCAAGGUCUCAGAUUUGUUGGUGAUUCAUAAUAACUAACUGACCGAGGUCUCGUAUCUCGGCGAUUCAUUCAAAUUUCUGACCUAUCAACUUUCGAUGGUAGGAUAGAGACCUAUCAUGGUUUUGACGGGUAACGGAGAAUUAGGGUUCGAUUCCGGAGAGGGAGCCUGAGAGAUGGCUACUACUUCCAAGGAAGGCAGCAGGCGCGCAAAUUACCCAAUCUCAAUACACUUGAGAGGAGGUAGUGACAAAAAAUAUCAAUGCAGGUCAUUUUACAUGGCUUGUAAUUGGAAUGGUUUAAACUCAAAUCAAUUUUAGAGUACCCAUUGAAGGGCAAGUCUGGUGCCAGCAGCCGCGGUAAUUCCAGCUUCAAUAGCGUAUAUUAAAGUUGCUGCAGUUAAAAAGCUCGUAGUUGGAUUUCGGAGGAGUUCGGUUGCGGUUCGGGCUUUCGGGCUUGG